UACGGAGGGUGCAAGCGUUAUCCGGAUUCACUGGGUUUAAAGGGUGCGUAGGCGGAUAUGUAAGUCCGUGGGGAAAUCUCUGGGCUUAACCCGGAAACUGCCAUGGAUACUAUGUGUCUUGAAUGUUGUUGAGGUGAGCGGAAUAUGUCAUGUAGCGGUGAAAUGCUUAGAUAUGACAUAGAACACCAAUUGCGAAGGCAGCUCACUAAGCAAAUAUUGACGCUGAGGCACGAAAGCGUGGGGAUCAAACAGG
rnacentral:rRNA from 1 species